UACGGGGGGGGCAAGCGUUGUUCGGAAUUACUGGGCGUAAAGGGCUCGUAGGCGGCCAACUAAGUCAGACGUGAAAUCCCUCGGCUUAACCGGGGAACUGCAUCUGAUACUGGAUGGCUUGAGAUUGGGAGAGGGAUGCGGAAUUCCAGGUGUAGCGGUGAAAUUCGUAGAUAUCAGGAGGAACACCGGUGGCGAAGGCGGGUCUCUGGGCCGAUACUGACGCUGAGGAGCGAAAGCGUGGGGAGCGAACAGG
rnacentral:rRNA from 1 species